AAGGGUCUAGGCCCGAAACGUCAGCCUCUCUGCUCCUAUGAUGCUGCUUGGCCUGCUGUGUUCAUCCAGCCCUGCACCUUGUUGUCUACAAAUCAGAGUGCUUGUUAAGUAAGGAACUCUAUAAUCAUGAAAGAUGUUCAUCUUCAUACAGAUUGGACAAAUCAAACUGACAAAGAUAGUUUUGAUGAUGAGCUCAGAGUAGAUUCAGCAUAGUUUUGCAGCUCAGGGAAUGGGCUUGUUUGAACCUGGUAAUGUGCCAUCUGCCAACAUAGUGGCGGAGUAGCAGUGCUGCUUUUGAGCCCUGGUCCGAGGUUUGUCCUCUUCCACCUGCUUUCUUUGUUUCUUUUUCUUUUGCUCCUUUUCUUUCAUUCUUUUUCUUUUUAUCUCUCUUUAGAAGCAUCUCUUGGCGUCUUCAGCAGGGUAACAGCAGGCCGAGCCUUCCAAGCAUGUGGCAGGAGUGGCAACAGAGUCAGCUCCUGGUACUGGCAGCAGCAGGACUAUUGGGGGAGGACAGCGAGUUCUGAGGUGACAUCAGCAAGAUGGUGGUCACGUGUGGAAUGAACGUCCUGAGGAAGUGGUGGAUGCGGAUACAAUUAAAACGUUUAAAAGACAUUUGGAUCCUUAAGCUGCAGUGUGACUGUCUUUGAACUCACUACGCAAGUGUCUGCCUCGUGGACACGCCACAGUGACUCCAGCCACCGCUCGACCUCUGAAACCCACAGCUCAAGUUUCUGCAGCUGAUAGCACUUCCGGCACAAGUGAUCAUCUUGAACACUGCCAAGGUUCAUGAUUUCCCUCAUACUACAGGUCACACAUUACAUUUGACUGUAUUGUGCUGCCACGUCUUAACAUU